rnacentral:rRNA from 1 species
UACGUACCGUCCAAACGUUAUUCGGAAUUACUGGGCUUAAAGGGUUUGUAGGCGGCGCUGUUAGUCGGGUGUGAAAUCCCAGGGCUCAACCCUGGAACUGCGCCCGAUACUGCAGUGCUUGAGGGAGACAGAGGUAAGCGGAACUGAUGGUGGAGCGGUGAAAUGCGUUGAUAUCAUCAGGAACACCGGUGGCGAAAGCGGCUUACUGGGUCUCUUCUGACGUUGAGAAACGAAAGCUAGGGGAGCGAAGGGG